GUAGCAUAAUCAUUUGUCUUUUAAUUGAAGGCUGGAAUGAAGGGCGUCACGAGAGACUAGCUGUCUCAGCUUAAUUUUUUGAACUUAUCUUAUUGGUGCAAAGACCAAUAUAGUCUCAUUGGACGAUCAGACCCUAUGGAGCUUGAAUGGUUAAAAUUAUUUAAAAUUAAAAUUUUAAUAAGUUUAAACACUUUGGUUGGGGCGACAAAGAGUAAAAUCAACACUCUUUUUAUAAAACAAACAUAAAUGAAUAUUUGACCCUUAGUGAAAGAUUAAAAGACUUAGUUACCCUAGGGAUAACAGCGUUAUUUUUCUGGAGAGUUCAUAUCGAUAGAAAAGUUUGCGACCUCGAUGUUGGAUCAAAGAAUCAGUAAGGGGUAGAUUUUUUACUGGAGGGUCUGUUCGACCUUUAAAUCUUUACGUGAUCU
rnacentral:rRNA from 1 species